rnacentral:rRNA from 1 species
AGUGAACGCUGGCGGUAGGCCUAACACAUGCAAGUCGAACGGCAGCACAGUAAGAGCUUGCUCUUACGGGUGGCGAGUGGCGGACGGGUGAGGAAUACAUCGGAAUCUACUUUUUCGUGGGGGAUAACGUAGGGAAACUUACGCUAAUACCGCAUACGACCUACGGGUGAAAGCAGGGGAUCUUCGGACCUUGCGCGAUUGAAUGAGCCGAUGUCGGAUUAGCUAGUUGGCGGGGUAAAGGCCCACCAAGGCGACGAUCCGUAGCUGGUCUGAGAGGAUGAUCAGCAACACUGGAACUGAGACACGGUCCAGACGCCUACGGGAGGCAGCAGUGGGGAAUAUUGGACAAUGGGCGCAAGCCUGAUCCAGCCAUACCGCGUGGGUGAAGAAGGCCUUCGGGUUGUAAAGCCCUUUUGUUGGGAAAGAAAAGCAGCAGGUUAAUACCCCGCUGUUCUGACGGUACCCAAAGAAUAAGCACCGGCUAACUUCGUG